GAUGAAGAACGUAGCGAAAUGCGAUAAGUAGUGUGAAUUGCAGAAUUCAGUGAAUCAUCGAAUCUUUGAACGCACAUUGAGCCCUUUGGUAUUCCAAAGGGCAUGCCUGUUCGAGCGUCAUUUGUACCCUCAAGCUUUGCUUGGUGUUGGGCGUCUUGUCUCUAGCUUUGCUGGAGACUCGCCUUAAAGUAAUUGGCAGCCGGCCUACUGGUUUCGGAGCGCAGCACAAGUCGCACUCUCUAUCAGCAAAGGUCUAGCAUCCAUUAAGCCUUUUUUUCAACUUUUGACCUCGGAUCAGGUAGGGAUACCCGCUGAACUUAAGCAUAUCAAUAAGCGGAGGA
rnacentral:misc_RNA from 1 species